AUUCUCCUCUGAACUUUUCAUUAAGCUGGUGAUUCAUUUUGAGACCCACAUUUUAUGAAGGUUGUGAAUUCAAUGCAAUGUAGCUAUUGAGGUGUCUACAUUCAAAUUGGAUUCCAUUAAGUUUAUGGUGUGAUUAAAUGUCUGAAUCAUAAGGAGUCAGGAUUGAAUUUAUGUGCCUUCUGAAAGCACUUUUGAAGACUGGCAGCUUCGAUGAGUGUAAUUUGAUGCAUGGAAUUGGGAGAAUAAACCUAAAGAGACGUCAACUCAAAUAUAACAAGGAUCUGAGAAUUGAGCAUCCAGUGUGGCCCGUGGUUGUCCAAACUGAGUUUACGCCCAAAAGAUUUCCUUGAACAGAUGUCAUCAAAGUUUUCCAGGUAAUGGCGCAGAUACCCAUCCGGAUAUUCAAAUCAGAACCCUGGGGCCAUUCCUGAUUCCUCUCUCUCCCUCAGCCUUUGUAUCGAGUUCUUCAGCAAGUCCUGUCAGAUUUGCUCUGAAAUCUGACAUCUACUUCGAUCCGCCUUCCCUGCCACCACCAACUUCUCCAAGCUCCCAGGACCACAGCCAUCAUCUUCUAGCUAUGGAAAAUAAGUGUUUCUUCUCCUCUACCAAUAGGAACCAUGUACAAGGGGCAGCCAAAUACAGGUUUGAGGGAACGUGAAGCUGUUAAUGAUACAAAAUUACAAACAAAAGUGAAUAUAUAGAAUGGUAAUAGUAGUAACGAGAAACUACAUAUAUUAAAGAGCUGACAGCGGCACCUGGGUAGCUCAGUAGGUGAAGCGUCUGCCUUCCUCUCAGGUCAUGAUCCAGCAGUCCCGGAACAGAGCCGGGAAGUGGGCUCUCUGCUCAGCAGGGAGUCUGCUUCUCCCUCUCCCCUUCCCCCAGUUCACAUUCCUUCUCUUUCUGGCUCACUCUCUCUCUCCCUCAAAUAAAUAAAAUGUAACAAACAAACAAACAAACAAAAACGUACAAAUUCUACAAAUAGAAUAAAAAAAUAAAGAAUAUUAACUGGUUGACCUCACAACUGUAAUAUGUUUAACUUUUUGGAUUUUAUACUCUCAUCUGCUAUUCACAUGAUGACGAUUUUGUAAUAUUAUCUUCCAUAGAAAUAAUGUAAAGCUUAGUGGGUCUUUUAGCCUGUAAAUGGAAUUUCAGCCUUGCAACUCAUUAUUGGCAGUAUCAUGUAGUAUUACGUACAUUUGAGGAUUGAUGUCAGAUUUCAGAAAACCUGUACCCAAGUUUCCUUUCGUAUAUGACUUGCAGAAUUUAAGAUGCUUUUCAGGUUCUCUUCUGUAGUGAACAAUGUAAAAUAAUCUUUACUUGUUGAACGGAUGGCACUCAUUAAUCAAUUUGUGUCGAUGUCUUCGUUGUAGAGGAAUAUUAUAUGUUUGAGGUUAUCUUCACUGAUAUUAGUAUUUUUUGUAAAAAUGAAAGAAAUUAAAAUCUUUUUACAAUGUGUUCCUAUGAUUCACUCUUCUUCACUAAUUGGACUAUCAAAUAAUCUAGAAGACUAUUCAUUGCUUUGAUUUAAAAUGUAUUCCUUCUUUUUAUUGGAUUACUACUUUUGUUCUGAUCUGAAUUUUGAAGGAUUACAAUUACUCAUUGAUGUCAGAAUAAUUUCUACUGAUUUAAUUGCUCAUCUGUAUUACCCUUGUUUCAUAUUCUACCAUACUUUAAAUUUUUCUCAGUUCUUUAAUAAAUCAAUUUAAAGAUGACAAAAGAAGGUACUCUGAAUAUAAGUCCAAAUCACAAGCUGUAAUUUCUCACUUGUUGAACUAAAACAUUCCAAAAGUCUGCCCAAAUUGCAGUUAAAAUGAUAUAUUCAAAAUUUAUUGAAUAAAAUGUUUGC